UACCAGCACCCCGAGUGGUCGGGACGAUUAUUGGCGCUAAAGCAUCCGUAGCCGGUUUUACAAGUCUUCCGUUAAAUCCACCUGCUUAACAGAUGGGCUGCGGAGGAUACUACAAGGCUAGGAGGCGGGAGAGGCAAGCGGUACUCAGUGGGUAGGGGUAAAAUCCUCUGAUCCAUUGAAGACCACCAGUGGCGAAGGCGGCUUGCCAGAACGCGCUCGACGGUGAGGGAUGAAAGCUGGGGGAGCAAACCGG
rnacentral:rRNA from 1 species